rnacentral:lncRNA from 1 species
AUUUUAAUAUUCAAUAUGGGAAAUUUAAAUUCAUAUUUUUUCUCCAUUUGUAAUAAGUACUGGAAAUUAGAUGUUAGGUAGGUAUCUAGCUCCAUGAAAUGAGAAUAAAGAAUUAUAUUAUAUUAAUAUGUCCUAAGAUACAUAUAUUCAUACACACACACACACACACACACACACUGGCUUUUUUUGAGAUGGGACUUCUCUGUAUAGCAGCAGCCCUGGCUAUCCUGGAACUCACUAUGCAGAUCAAGCACACCUGGAACUCAGAAAUCCACCCCUCCCUGCUUUCUAAAUGCUGGGGUUCAAGACUUGUGCUGCCACUAACCAUCUCUAAGCUGCCUUCCUUAUUCCUCUAAAUAUGGCUUCAUUCUUUUUGCUCCACAUCAUAUCAAUGAACUCAAUGCAAUUAUGAGAGGCCCCUUUCAAUGUACUGUUUUCCAUCAGUAAAACAUUAGACUAAACAAAACAUUUAAAUUUACAAAAAUUCUUUUAGUAUAAUAAUCUUAGCAAUUUCUUUGAACACAAAUCCUGAUGUGAUAUUAAAAAAAAAAGUUCACUGUACUGACUGUUUUGUUCUCUGGGGGAGCACAUGGCAUUAGAAUUGAACAAAUCAGAAAUGUACCAUUUUUAUUAAAAGGUUAAUGAAAUUCUUUCUGACUUUUUGGAGGAAAGUUCAGUUUGGGAAUUUGCCAAUGUCUGGAAACUCUUCCGGGUAACCUGAAUGGUAGCUGCCCCUUUGCAAGUUAGGACCAGAGCCAAGAUGUCAACUGAGAAGAAAUCUUCAUUUAAACUGAAAUAAAUGAUAAAAUAACAUAUAGGAAAGAGAAGCUCUGGUCAGUAAAGAGCUUACACAUUGACUAUGUUAAUGGUUUAGUGUACUUGUGUUUUGUGAAUCUCAUUUUAACUUAAAUGAUUACAGUACC